UUACAAUUACAGUUAAGGUGACUGAGACCUGAAGUGGUUUGAUUUAAGUAUCUCUGGUGAAUAAGUUGACCAAGGCUUCUGCUUUAUACUUUGAUAAACAGAUGUAACUGAUGUAACUGGAUAACACCUGAAAGAAGUAAAUAGAAGAUGACAGAUAUUAAAUUACGAAGAUGAAGAGCAUAAACCCCUGUUGUUUUGGCACAACAGGUGAUACAAGUGGAGAAGAUUUUUUCUUAUACACAGUAAAUGACCUAAGUUGUAAAUUUAAUGGAAAUGUUGAAAGAUCAACAGGAAUCAAGCAGACCUGAUCUGAGUGCAAAGCAGAUGACUCAGCCAUAACUGAUUGUUCUGGCCCAUUGUACUCAUUAAGCAGUUUGUUAAUCUGGCAUUAAAUUGAAGAGCAGAGGAGGGUUGGUGGUACACGGAAGACAUUCAUCAG